rnacentral:rRNA from 1 species
UACGGAGGGUGCGAGCGUUGUCCGGAAUCACUGGGCGUAAAGGGCGCGUAGGUGGCGCGGGAAGUCAACGGUGAAAGUUCGGGGCUCAACCCUGAAUCGGCCGUCGAUACUCCCGGGCUCGAGCGCUGUAGAGGCAGAUGGAAUUCCGGGUGUAGCGGUGGAAUGCGUAGAGAUCCGGAAGAACACCGGUGGCGAAGGCGGUCUGCUGGGCCAAGACUGACGCUGAGGCGCGACAGCGUGGGGAGCAAACAGG